CCUACGGGGGGCAGCAGUGGGGGAUAUUGCACAAUGGGGGGAACCCUGAUGCAGCGACGCCGCGUGGGUGAAGAAGCGCCUCGGCGCGUAAAGCCCUGUCAGCAGGGAAGCAAAUGACGGUACCUGAAGAAGAAGCCCCGGCUAACUACGUGCCAGCAGCCGCGGUAAUAUGUAGGGGGCAAGCGUUAUCCGGAUUUACCGGGCGUUAAGGGGGCGCAGGCGGCGGUGCAAGCCAGGAGUGAAAGCCCGGGGCCCAACCCCGGGUCUGCGCUUGAAACUGCGUGGCUGGAGUGCAGGAGGGGCAGGCGGAAUUCGUGGUGUAGCGGUGAAAUGCGUAGAUAUCAGGAGGAACGCCGGUGGCGAAGGCAGCCUGCUGGACUGCAACUGACGUUGAGGCCCGAAAGCGUGGGGAGCGAACAGGAUUAGAUACCCCAGUAGUC
rnacentral:rRNA from 1 species